UACGUAGGGGGCAAGCGUUGUCCGGAAUCAUUGGGCGUAAAGCGCGUGUAGGCGGCUCGAUAAGUCUGCUGUAAAAGUCCAGGGCUCAACCCUGGAAAGCCGGUGGAAACUGUCGAGCUAGAGUCCGGAAGAGGAGAGUGGAAUUCCUGGUGUAGCGGUGAAAUGCGCAGAUAUCAGGAAGAACACCCGUGGCUAAGGCGGCUCUCUAGUACGGUACUGACGCUGAGACGCGAAAGCGUGGGGAGCGAACAGG
rnacentral:rRNA from 1 species